GAUGAACGCUGGCGGCGUGCCUAAUACAUGCAAGUCGAGCGAACGGACGAGAAGCUUGCUUCUCUGAUGUUAGCGGCGGACGGGUGAGUAACACGUGGAUAACCUACCUAUAAGACUGGGAUAACUUCGGGAAACCGGAGCUAAUACCGGAUAAUAUUUUGAACCGCAUGGUUCAAAAGUGAAAGACGGUCUUGCUGCCACUUAUAGAUGGAUCCGCGCUGCAUUAGCUAGUUGGUAAGGUAACGGCUUACCAAGGCAACGAUGCAUAGCCGACCUGAGAGGGUGAUCGGCCACACUGGAACUGAGACACGGUCCAGACUCCUAAGGGAGGCAGCAGUAGGGAAUCUUCCGCAAUGGGCGAAAGCCUGACGGAGCAACGCCGCGUGAGUGAUGAAGGUCUUCGGAUCGUAAAACUCUGUUAUUAGGGAAGAACAUAUGUGUAAGUAACUGUGCACAUCUUGACGGUACCUAAUCAGAAAGCCACGGCUAACUACGUG
rnacentral:rRNA from 1 species